CCAGAACGAUGAAACUAUUGACGGAUGUAACGAGUAAAACUCGCAUGUCCGAGAGCGCUUUUUUCGUGUGGAUAUCCCGUUGCCUUCCUUCUGACUUUUCUU
rnacentral:snoRNA from 1 species